ACGAUAGUGAUGUUAGAUACUGGUAGGCAGAACGCUUCUUAUUCAUUUCUCUCCUGGUUUUCCCAUAAAUCUGUUCUGGUUCCUGUUCUCUAUCCAUCCACGGAUGAGAAUCUGUACAGACAAAUCCGUGCGUGGACGUGCCGGCGCCGCAUGCUCACAUGUUUCUGCGUGCACAUGCUGGCGGCGGCCCGCCCACACGUGUGAAAGUUGAUUCUGCGCGGCGUCCAAGCGUGAAAUUGGAGUUUGUGUUCGUGCUCCUUGUUCACUUGGGUCAACAGCUGAGCUUUACGGCGGUUCAAGGCGUCGAUGAGCGCGUCGCACUGCGCCACCAAACACGCCUCGAACUCCACGCCGUUCUCCUGCAGAGAGACGUCACAAACAGGAGUUCAGCGUUCUACCGUCAGCCCAUGAAGAUGACCUCGGCUCGGCAUUCAGCCGCUGUUUCACUCCGUCCUGCUGCACGAGGAUGAAGAUCGCAGGUCGUGAUGCAUGCAGCUCUGAACCUCCGAUGAAUAACUGGAAGGUCAGGAGGCGGGAAUCCAGCCGGAGAUCCCGGUCAGCUCCGGGAUCCGUCUGUGCAGACCGGACAGAGAACCUUCUAACCGCCUCUGCAGGUGAGGGUCGGCGUACCUGGAUGUGUUGGACCAUGUUCCUCAGCUGCACCAGGAACUCCUUGGCUUCUGUGGCUCGGUCUGACAGGCCGUUCAGCGCCUGCGACAGCUGACCCUGCAGAGACAGAACGGGCCGAGACCAUGAGAAGGUUCUGCUGAACACAGCUUCACUGUGAGGCCUCACAGGAAGCUGCUCAGGACUUCAAAAUAAAAGCAUUCCAAUA